ACGGGAGGCAGCAGUGGGGAAUAUUGCACAAUGGGGGAAACCCUGAUGCAGCGACGCCGCGUGAGCGAAGAAGUAUUUCGGUAUGUAAAGCUCUAUCAGCAGGGAAGAAAAUGACGGUACCUGACUAAGAAGCUCCGGCUAAAUACGUGCCAGCAGCCGCGGUAAUACGUAUGGAGCAAGCGUUAUCCGGAUUUACUGGGUGUAAAGGGAGCGUAGACGGGACAGCAAGUCUGAUGUGAAAGGCGGGGGCUCAACCCCUGGACUGCAUUGGAAACUGUUGACCUUGAGUGCAGGAGAGGUAAGCGGAAUUCCUAGUGUAGCGGUGAAAUGCGUAGAUAUUAGGAGGAACACCAGUGGCGAAGGCGGCUUACUGGACGGUAACUGACGUUGAGGCUCGAAAGCGUGGGGAGCAAACAGGAUUAGAUACCCUGGUA
rnacentral:rRNA from 1 species